rfam:Clostridiales bacterium 42_27 Ley3_66761_scaffold_3816, whole genome shotgun sequence.
AAGCGUUGAAGUAAGGUGUUGUGCCAGGAGGCAGUGCCUUACCAGCUUUAUAAGGGUUUAGCAUUUACCACAAUCUGGCUAGGGAGCAAAAGCUCUCAAAAGAAAAUGCUGGGA